CAGCGGCGCGGCGGCCCAGCCGCCGUGAGGAAAGUCCGGGCUCCACAGGGCAGGAUACCUGCUAACGGCAGGCCGAGGCGACUCGAGGGAAAGUGCAACAGAAAGAUACCGCCGCCGGAUCACCGGGAGGCCUCCCGGCAGACGGCGGUAAGGAUGGAAAGGCGAGGUAAGAGCUCACCGGGGCGCAGGUGACUGCGCUGCCAUGUAAACCCUAUCCGGAGCAACACCAGCUGGAACGAUGCGGCGGCCCGCCGGGUUCCGAAAGGUGGCUUGAGGCGCGCGGCGACGCGCGCCCUAGAAAGAUCGUUGUUCGCGACAGAACCCGGCUUAUAGAUCCCCUCC
rnacentral:RNase_P_RNA from 1 species